GUGAAAGAUACAAGGCAGAGGGCAACAUGAACUCUGCCCUCGGGGCAUUCAAAAUCUCCUAGGAGAGAACUGCCAUUGCACAAGUAAGCAUAAUACAAGUUAAAAGUGAAUUUGCCAUCAAAUGGGUCUAAAUAAAGGGCUAUGAGAGAUCAGAGGAAGAAAAGCAGUCCUCUCAGCUUUGGUCAGGUUUGGUCCACAAACAAAUCAAAUUCUUAUUAAUUAGGUUCUUGUUCUGUCUCCUACUGUCACUGACAAACUAAAUUGCUUCAAAAAUAAUCCUCUCCCAUGGGAGAUCUUACAGACAGACCCUAAUUGCCCCACCAAACUGCUUAGAAUUGAGCUCUGAAAAGAACUACAAAAGAGGUCAAAGGGGGCAAACAAGAGAUUUUAAAAUAUUUGGUUUUAAAGGAUAUGAGUAGUAGGAUACCAAAGCCUGAGGGUGCACAGCUGAGGUCAAUUGGUAUUAAUUGCUAACACCUAGAGGUAAUUAGCAAUAAUUACCCAAAGGAGGGAAGGGAGCAGCCAGAAGGACUUAAAGGCAGUAUUUCCAGGAACUCCUACCACACUGGGAACCUAAUAGUUUCUCAGUAAGAGGAAAUAAAUGUUUUCCACAGCAAUUUGUUUAGUUUUUAAAUUGCACUACAAAGAAACGCCUGAGGGAAGCUUAUGUAUAUACUAUUAAAACUUGUAGGUCCUCCUAUCCAGAGGUGAAGAUUUUUGCCCAUCCAUUGAGUCUGAGCUGGUCUUAUGAUUUGCUGUAACUAGAAGAGUGCAGGGAAAGUGAAAUUUACAUUACUUCUGUUGCUGGGUCUUAAAAGACCUUGCAGCCUCCACUUAGACCUUUUAGGAAUGCUGUGCUGAGAUCAUCUUGUGAGGAAGCUGGUCUAGCCUACUGGAGGAUGAGCAAAGUUGCAUAGAAGAUCCCGGCAUCCAGACGGAUGGCACCAACUCCAGAUGCACAUUCCACGUCCCACUGACUGCAACCCCACGAAUGAGCCAGAUCCACUUUCUAUCCUUCUCCACUCUGCUCUCUGUCCAGGAAGGCUGAUCUCUAUGGACUACCUCAAUAGAUCCCAUUCAGAUGUCACACCAUCCCUGCAUCUCUGGAAUGAAUCCCACCUGAUCAAGGGUAAUGAAGGCUUCAUAGAAGGAGUUAGGAAGACUCCCCUCCUCUUCAAUUUUUUGGAAGACUUUGAGAAGGAGAACCUCUUUGUGAGAAGGCUGGUCCAUACCAAGGUUCUAAUCUGCAAUUAUCUAGAAGAACAAAGCCUGUCCAGAAGAUAUUGAACUUACAACAGUUGUCUACAAUCAUAUUUUUCUAAAUGAAGAUUUGCCAAGUCAGCAUCCAAUUGCUUUCCUUUCCUUGUAUUUUUCUAUAGUGCUUUGGCAUUUGUGAAAUGCUUUUACAUUCUGCAUUUUAUUUACCUUUACUUUUGACAUAGAAAUCUAGGUUGGCAGGUUUGGUUUUUAUAUUUCCCCAGCUCUUUAAAUUUGUCUUCCCAUUUUUUGUGUUCUAGUUGUUUUUAUUGAGAAGCCAUUUAUCAGUCUAGUUGUUCCUUUGAAGGAGAUAUAUAUCCAACCCCUCCACCCUAGCUGCUUUAAAGAUUUUUUCUUUGUCUUUGACUUAUAGCAGUUUGACUCUGAUGUGCCUAGGUGUGGUUUUCUGUGUAUUGAUCCUGCUUGGAAGGUUCUUGAAUCUGUGACUUGUUGACUUGAUUAGUUUUGGAAAAUUUUGGCUAUCAUUUCAUUAAAUAUUGUUUUUAUUCUAUCCUCUUUCUUGUUUCCUCUCCUGGGAUUCCAAAUAGAUUUCCCAUAUGUGCUAUAUGUAUUUUUCUGAUUUUUCCACCUUUUAUUUUCUCUCUGUGAUUUAAUCUGGAUAUUUUCUAAUAACAUUUUUUAAAGACUUUUUUUUUUUGGAAGCAGUUUUAGAUUUACAAUAAAAUUGAGAGGAAGGUACAGAGAUCUCCCACAUAGUCUCUGACUGCACACACGCAUAGCCUCCAUCAUUAUCAACAUCACUCACCAGAGUCAUUUGUUACCGAGGAUGAACCUACAUUGAUACAUCAUAAUCAUCCAAAGUCCAUAGUUUACCUUAGGGUUCGCUCUUGGUGUUGUACAUUCCAUGGGUUUGGACAAAUGUAUAAUGACAUAUAUCCAUCAUUAUAAUAUCAUACGGAGUAUUUUCAUUGCCUUAAAAAUCUUAUGUGCUCUAUCCAUUCAUCCUUUCCCUCACCUCACCCCAGGAAACCACUGAUAUUUUUACCAUCUCAGUAGCUAUACCUUUUCCUGAAUGUCAUAUAGUUGGAAUCAUAUGAUAUGUACCUUUCUUGGAUUGAAUUCUUUCAUUUAGUAAUAUGCAUUUAAGAUUCCUCUGUAUCUUUUCACGGCUUGAUAGUUCAUUUCUUCUCAGCGCUGAAUAAUGUUCCAUUGUCUGGAUGUACCAUAGUAUAUUUAUCCAUUCAUCUACUGAAGAAUAUCUGGGUUGUUUCCAAGUUUUGGCAAUUAUGAACAGAGCUCCUAUAAACAUCCGUAUGCAGGUUUUUGAGUGGACAUAACUUUUCAACUCCUUUGCGUAAAUACCAAGGAGCAGUAUAGUUGCUGGAUUGUGUGAUAAGAAUAAGUUUAGUUUUGCAAAAACCACCAAAUUGUCUUCCAAAGUAGUUGUACCAAUUUGCAUUUCCACCAGCAAUGAAUGAGUGUUCCUAUUGCUCCGUGUCCUCACCAACGUUUGGUCUUGUCACUAUUCUGGAUUUUGGCCAUUCUAAGAAGUGUGUAGUGGUAUCUCAUUAUUUUAAUUUACAUUUCUCUGAUGACAUAUGAUGUGGAGUGUUUUUUCAUAUUUGCCAUCUGUAUAUCUUAUUUGCUGAGGUGUCUGUUAAGGUCUUUGACCCAUUUUUUAAUCAAGUUGUUUGUUUUUUUCUGAGUUUUAAGAAUUCUUCAUAUAUUUUAGACAACAGUCCUUUAUCAGAUUUGUCUUUUGCAGGUAUUUCCUCCCAGCCUGUGGCUUGCCAUCUCAUUCUCUUGAUGUUGUCUUUUGCAGAGCAGAAGUUUUUAAUUUAAACAAAGUCUAGCAUAUCAAUUAUCUCUUUCAUGGAUUGUGUCUUUGUAUCUAAAAAGUCAUUGGCAAACCCAAGGUCAUCUAGGUUUUCUCCUAUGUUAUCUUUUAGGAGUUUUAUAGUUUUGUGUUUUACAUUUAGAUCUACAAUUCAUUUUGUCUGUGAAUCCAUUAAUUUUUGUGAAGGGUGUUAAGAUCUGUGUUUGGAUUCAUUUUUCUUCAUGUAAAUGUCCAGUUGUUCCCACACCAUUUGUUGACGAGACUAGCUUUUCUCCAUUGUAUUGCCUUUGCUCCUUUGUCAAAGACAAGUUGAUAUUGUUUGUGGAGGUCUAUUUCUGUGCUCUCUGUUCUAUUUCAUUGAUCCAUUUGUUCUUUUGCCAAUACCACAUUGUCUUGAUUACUGUAGCUUUAUAAUAAGUCUUGAAGUUGGGUAGCACCAGUCCUCCAAGUUUGUUCUUUUCCUUCAAUAUUGUGUUGGUAAUUCUGGCUCUUUUUCCUCUCCCUAUAAACUUCAGAACCAAUUUGUUGAUAUCCAUAAAAUAAUUUGCUGGGUUUUGAUUGGGAAUAACCUUUUUUAGCUUACUAAUUCUCUCUUCCAUUGGCCACUCUUUCAUUAAAUCCUCUUAUUGAAUUCUUAAUUUCAGUUAUGUUUUUCAGUUUCAGUGUUUCCAUUUAAUUUUAAAAAAAUAAAUUCCAGUUUGCCUGUGAAGUUUCACAUAUUUUGCUUAUUUUCUUGGUUUUAUUGGUUAUAGCUAUUUUAAAGUCUCUAUAUGCUAAUUUCAAUAUUAGAAUAUUCAAUGAGUUGAGCUCUUGAUUAUUUGAUUUUGAUUAUUUUGAUUGUUUUUGAUUAUUUUGACCUGUUUUGUGAUUUAUUUGCUAAUUUUGUAUUGAAUGCUAAACAUUAUGUAUAAAAUAUUGUAGAAGGUCUGGAUGAUAUCUACUUCCAGAAAGAAUUUAAUUUUUUUCUGGCAGGUAGAUAAAGUAAAAGCAGAUCAUUUCUUCCAGUCAAUACUGGGUUUCAGGCUUUGUUAGGACUGGUCUAUUUUUGGUUUACCUUUACUCCUAGGACACAGACUUGUUUUUUCCUAGGGCAUAGCCCUUUUCGGGUCUUGGUAAAAAUCCUGGAGUGCUUACCUGAUCUCCUACCUGUGUCUCCAUUACACAACUGAAACCUCUGCUCAGCUCUUUGGUCUCCCAGCCAUUGCUUUCCAUUUGACUUGUUGGUGUCUCAACCUGAGCAUGAGAGAUGGAAAAUAUCUUUAAGAGAAAUUACACUUCUCUUGGACCUUGGUCUCAAGUCUCUGGUGACUUGGAGGUCCUGAACUCCAACCUCUGUGUUCCCAGCUCAUUGAAACUGUUGCAAGCUCCAGGCCAUUGUAUUUUACUCUCAUUAUGUAGAGAAUUGGCAAAUUCCCUGAGUCAACUGCAGAGCAGUGUGUAACUCACCUCAGUGUGUUUCUCCUCCCUCCGGGAACUUGGCCCCUCAAGUCCUGGCUGCCUUAAUUGCAUGCUGAUACCUUCAAAGAGCUGUAUUUUUCAUUUUAUUCACAUUAUGUAAUUACUCCUAGUAAGAUAGUUAAUCUGAUACCAGCUAUUGCAUCAUAGCCAAGAGCAGAAGCCCAGGGUCCUAUAUUUCAUUUGAUCUUCAACAAAUUUGUGAAAUAAGCCUGACAUGAAAUUAAGUCUUAGGAAAGUUAGGUAACUUGCCAUGGCAUAAGCCAAAUAAGAUAAAUAGGUGAUCCUGGAGUUCAGGCCAGGUAUUUUGACUUUCCUCUUACCGUCAGCCAAAGCUUGAAAUGUGUUUCAUAUUCAGUUUUGGAUUCUG
rnacentral:lncRNA from 1 species